AUUGAACGCUGGCGGCAGGCCUAACACAUGCAAGUCGAGCGGAUGAAGGGAGCUUGCUCCUGGAUUCAGCGGCGGACGGGUGAGUAAUGCCUAGGAAUCUGCCUGGUAGUGGGGGAUAACGUCCGGAAACGGGCGCUAAUACCGCAUACGUCCUGAGGGUGAAAGUGGGGGAUCUUCGGACCUCGCGCUAUCAGAUGAGCCUAGGUCGGAUUAGCUAGUUGGUGGGGUAAAGGCCUACCAAGGCGACGAUCCGUAACUGGUCUGAGAGGAUGAUUAGUCACAUUAGAACUGAGACAGGGUCCAGACUCCUAAGGGAGGCCGCAGUUGGGAAUAUUAGACAAUGGGCGAAAGCCUGAUCCAGCCAUGGCGCGUGUGUGAAGAAGAUCUUCGGAUUGUAAAGCACUUUAAGUUGGGAUGAAGGGCAGUAAGUUAAUACCUUGCUGUUUUGACGUUACCAGCAGAAUAAGCACCGGCUAACUUCGUG
rnacentral:rRNA from 1 species